AGUGAACGCUGGCGGCAGGCCUAACACAUGCAAGUCGAACGGCAGCACAAGAGAGCUUGCUCUCUGGGUGGCGAGUGGCGGACGGGUGAGGAAUGCAUCGGAAUCUGCCCAUUUGUGGGGGAUAACCUCGGGAAACCGGGACUAAUACCGCAUACGACCUACGGGUGAAAGCAGGGGAUCUUCGGACCUUGCGCAGAUGGAUGAGCCGCUGCCGGAUUAGCUAGUUGGAGGGGUAAAGGCCCACCAAGGCGACGAUCCGUAGCUGGUCUGAGAGGAUGAUCAGCCACACUGGGACUGAGACACGGCCCAGACUCCUACGGGAGGCAGCAGUGGGGAAUAUUGGACAAUGGGCGCAAGCCUGAUCCAGCCAUGCCGCGUGUGUGAAGAAGGCCUUCGGGUUGUAAAGCACUUUUGUUGGGAAAGAAAAGCAGCCGGUUAAUACCCGGUUGUCAUGACGGUACCCAAAGAAUAAGCACCGGCUAACUUCGUG
rnacentral:rRNA from 1 species